AGUGAACGCUGGCGGUAGGCCUAAUACAUGCAAGUCGAACGGCAGCACAGUAAGAGUUCGCCUCUACUGUUAGCGACUGGCGGAUGGGUGAGGAAUACAUCGCAUUCCUCUUUUUCUUGGGUGACUACGUGGGAAAACAUAUGCUAACACCGCAUAUGUUCAACGGGUUAGAUCAGGGGUUCUUGGCAGUCUUGCCGACACAUAUAGAUGGUGCCGGAUUAGCUAGUUGGCUGGGUAAAGGCCCACCAAGGCGACGAUGCGUAGCUGGUCUGAGAGGAUGAUCAGCCACACUGGAACUGAGACACGGUCCAGACUCCUACGGGAGGCAGCAGUGGGGAAUAUUGGGCAAUGGGCGCAAGCCUGAUCCAGCAAUGCCGCGUGAGUGAAGAAGGCCUUCGGAUUGUAAAGCCCUUUUGUUAGGAAAGAAAAGCAGCAGAUUAAUACCCCGCUGUUCUGACGGUACCCAAAGAAUAAGCACCGGCUAACUUCGUG
rnacentral:rRNA from 1 species